UCAUUCGGUCGUUCGUCCCCGACGGCCCGACUCCCCGAAUCCCGAACCGGUGAACCCUAGACCUAGACGGCCGGCGGCAGCAGGAUCAAGCGGUGCCGCGGAGGGCAGAUUCAGUAGGCCAGCGGCUGGAGGUGACGAGCACCAUGGUGGAGCUUCGGAGCCGCGAAGGGCCGAGGGCGCCGGCCGUGGGGGCACCGGCCGCUAAGGCAGUGCGCAGCAGGCCGGCAAGCGACCGGCAUCGAGGCAACUCAGCACGGCGGCAAGCAGCUCCUUAUCCCAUUCUCCCAUCCUCCAGCACGGCAGCAGCAAGCCGGUCAUUUUGUAGGACUGCCAUUAGCUGAGUUGUGAAUUUGUAAGUUAAUAUUGCUAAAUUGACAUCUUAUUUCAACAUGUUAGUGGCUGCAAUUUAGAAAUGUCUAUGAAUUUGUGUCAACCAUGGCAGUGACUGUGAGGCAGUGAUCAUUACAUGAAAUAGUAUCCUGAAACUUAAGUGAUUUUAUUUUUACAUGAACAGAUUCACAACUGAUUUUAGUUCUUUAUUGGAUAGAGGUAUGCCAUAAACUAGGAUUAGGACUGUUCAAAAUUUUUUUACCCCGUUAUCAUUUUGAAUACCAAUGCUCCAAAUCCUGGGCCCGCCCCUGUGGCGAGGCCAACGACUCGUGGCUGCUAAUGUCUUCUCGGUCGCGCAUUGGCUCGAGACAGUGCUGCUGCUCGAGGCUACAGACGAUCAGAGAGAGAGAAGGAAGAUGACUCAUGGACCAGAGCAAAGGGAUGGACAGGAGAACGAUACGAGUGGAUAAGGAUGUUAUGUUACGAACUAUGGCUGGACUAAGACCAUGGACUGUAGGUCCCG
rnacentral:lncRNA from 1 species